rnacentral:rRNA from 1 species
UACGAAGGGGGCUAGCGUUGUUCGGAAUUACUGGGCGUAAAGCGCACGUAGGCGGAUAUUUAAGUCAGGGGUGAAAUCCCAGAGCUCAACUCUGGAACUGCCUUUGAUACUGGGUAUCUUGAGUAUGGAAGAGGUAAGUGGAAUUGCGAGUGUAGAGGUGAAAUUCGUAGAUAUUCGCAGGAACACCAGUGGCGAAGGCGGCUUACUGGUCCAUAACUGACG